CAUAAAAGGUAUAAAGCCACUUAACAGUAGAAAAUGCAGGCAGUAUCACAAUAAGUAGAGGGCUAUGUAUAAAGGCUGAUUCGAUCAGGUCAACUCGGUAGGAUUCCAAAAAUAUCGAGGCAUCGUUGACACUGCUAACAAAUUUUUGUUGCUGCUAAUAGAAAUUCUUUUCAUCAUUGUUUUCUGGGCGCACCUUGAUUAUUCCCAAUACAACUGUUUGCCCUUACUACGUUUAAUUGUCAAAGUAACUCGUAAGAUAUUAAAUUUUAUAUAGGUGUUAAUCCGUUCUCUCUAAAUUCUAUAUUAUUUACAUGGUCCUUGCUAAGCCAAAUCAGGGUGGUUCCUGAUCAUUUAGAAUAUACAAGAG